rnacentral:misc_RNA from 1 species
UCUAUUGCUCUUCUCUCUAUUAUUAGUUGGUUUAUGCAUUGACUUAGGGCUUUUAGGCUUUAAUUUCUUGGAUCGAAUAUUUCAAGUGGGAUUUAUCAUUGGACGAUGGUUUUCCCUGUUCUUGUUUAACUUAAAUUAUCGUGUUCGAAUUUAGUGUUUGUUCCUUUCAAUUUCAAUCUUAGCUUUCUCCUUCACAGCCUUCCCAUCCCUCGUAGUUCUACCCAUAUAAUUGUUUCCUGCUCGAUCUUAAUCCUCCUUUUAUUCCACUGCAAUUGUAAUUAGAGCAAUAAAAUCAUCAGAUAGGAACCAUAAUUAGGGCAAUUAAAUCAUCAGAAAGGAAGAGAUAGCAGGUGCGCUAUCAAAGUUUCGAGUAUUAUCAGACGUUUCUGUGCAUAGAUGGCGCUGCAAGAAAAAUUAGAUAGAUUCAAGAAGCAACAAGAGAAGUGCCAGUCGACCCUCACCAGCAUUGCAGCCAAAGCAGGGCCUUCUAAAUCUGCUUCAAUUCAAAAACGUACACCUGUAGCUGCAUCACCAUUAACAAAUCCUAGGACUCCAGGUCCACCUGUCAAAUUUUCAAAUGACACAGAGAGACUACAACACAUCAACAGUAUUCGGAAAGGCCCUGUUGGAGCUCAGAUCAAGCGUGUUAUAGACCUGCUGCUAGAGACAAGGCAAGCUUUUACACCCGAACAAAUAAAUGAAGCAUGUUAUGUUGAUGUGAACUCCAACAAAGCUGUAUUUGACAGUUUGAGGAACAACCCAAAAGUGAACUAUGAUGGGAAGCGCUUCUCUUACAAGUCCAAGCAUGAUUUGAAGGACAAGAAUCAGCUACUUGUCUUGAUACGGAAAUUUCCUGAGGGCAUUGCUGUCAUUGAUCUCAAGGAUGCAUACCCAACUGUGAUGGAGGAUUUGCAGGCUUUGAAAGCUGCUGGCCAGAUAUGGUUGCUAUCAAACUUUGAUUCACAGGAGGAUAUUGCAUACCCAAAUGACCCCAGGGCAGUUAU